UGAGAAUAAAAGGUUCCUUUGGAAAUCGUCAAGACAUAGAAAAUAGUCUUAUUCCAGCAAUUUAUUGAAAGCUCCAAAUCGGAAGAUCCCUGGUUAAAUCGUAUUAUUUUUUUUAGGCCACAGCUGCUUCACUUCACAAUCUAUUCAGAGUGAACGCACAAAUGAAUGGAAUAUUUAUGAAAUAUAUCAAAGACCACCGGCUCGCGUUUUACAUAAACAUACCCUGAAAGUUCUUACCAAGUGCGUCCCUGAAUUCCCCCUGAAUAUUUGCAACUCCAAAUCGUUUAAUUGGGUUGCAUGUGUUGCCUGUAUGUCAUGUUUACAUUUUUCUAGUUUUUGUAUCUUUAUCAUAUAUCUAACAGAUGCUGAAGAUCGUUUUCGGAUAUUCAUUUUGUGGCAUUUUUACGUCGUUUUCUGUACUCUGAAUAGCUUGUGCGUGAACCGAGGUUUUUUACAGAAAUUUCUUGUGGAAAUUCAAGUUUUGGGAUGAAAAUAACCAUCUAUAUUUCCAUUAUCACUAAUUCGACGGUUGGGGUAGCAAUAUUACCCAUCUGAGGAUCAAACACAUACUCCUGCUAGUAUAGGAAGGCCGCCCAACAACUUGAACAAUACAAGUUUCUACGUAGUUUGGAUCGUCCCGUUCUGAACCGAACAACGGAGAUGAAAUUCACGUAUUUCCUAUCCGAAGAAAAGGAAAAAUAACUUGAGAGGGAUUUUCGGCCACUGUGGAUUUGUUUGGAUCCUCGAAUUGGUAGUUUCUCCGAUUGUAUUGCAAAUUCCUGAAUCGUCAAGUUAAUACAGUCCACGAACACCAACAUGGUCCAUUUGAGCCAACGGAUAUGAAAAAGAAGUGAAUAAACGUUGAGAAAAGCUGAAAAUCAGAUUCUAUUCGACACCAAGAGGUAGUUGGU